rnacentral:rRNA from 1 species
CAUACAUGCAAGUUCGAACGAUAAGGUCUCUCGGAGACACAUAAGUGGCGGACGGGUGAGUAAUGUGUAGAGAAUCUGCCCUAGAGUGGGGGACAACAGUUGGAAACGACUGCUAAUACCGCAUAUGCGCGUAGCUGAGAAGCUAUUCGUGAAAACUCCGGUGCUCUGGGAUGAGUCUGCAUCUGAUUAGCUAGUUGGGGGUGUAAUGGACCACCAAGGCGACGAUCAGUAGCUGGUUUGAGAGGAUGAUCAGCCACAAUGGGACUGAGACACGGCCCAUACUCCUACGGGAGGCAGCAGUAGGGAAUUUUGCGCAAUGGGGGGAACCCUGACGCAAGCAACGCCGCGUGAUUGAAUAAGCCCUUCGGGGUGUAAAGAUCUGUCAGUGGGGACGAAACUUGACGGUACCCACAGAGGAAGCAUCGGCUAACUCCGUGCCAGCAGCGGC